CACGUUCGUCCUCACUUAGGGUAGAGU
rnacentral:sRNA from 1 species